GCUGGCGGCGUGCCUACACAUGCAAGUCGCACGAGAAAGUGGAGCAAUCCAUGAGUAAAGUGGCGCACGGGUGAGUAACACGUGAAUGAUCUACCUCCGAGUGGGGAAUAACCUAGAGAAAUCUGGGCUAAUACCGCAUAACACUUACGAGUCAAAGCAGCAAUGCGCUUGGAGAGGAGUUCGCGGCCGAUUAGUUAGUUGGCGGGGUAAUGGCCCACCAAGACGAUGAUCGGUAUCCGGCCUGAGAGGGCGCACGGACACACUGGAACUGAAACACGGUCCAGACUCCUACGGGAGGCAGCAGUGGGGAAUUUUGCGCAAUGGGGGAAACCCUGACGCAGCAACGCCGCGUGGAGGAUGAAAUCCCUUGGGAUGUAAACUCCUUUCGAUCGGGACGAUUAUGACGGUACCGGAAGAAGAAGCCCCGGCUAACUUCGUGCCAGCAGCCGCGGUAAUACGAGGGGGGCAAGCGUUGUUCGGAAUUAUUGGGCGUAAAGGGCGCGUAGGCGGUUUGACAAGUCUGAUGUGAAAUCUCUGGGCUCAACUCAGAGUCUGCAUUANAAACUGUCGGGCUUGAGUAUGGGAGAGGUGCGUGGA
rnacentral:rRNA from 1 species